UCCGCUCUUCAGCUCGAGCGCGUUGAUCUUGGCUCCGCUCUCCACCAGCAGGCGGAGGCAGCGCUCACCGUCCCUCCUCACCGCCAGGUGGAGAGGGUGAAGACCUGACAGAGACGGAAGCACAGGUCAGUGACACGACCUCAGAGUCCUCUCACCGUGGAAGUCAGGGGUGUUGACCAGGUGGGCGUGGCGUUCUCCCAGGUGAGCCAGCAGCGUGCGCAGUGUGUUGUAAUCUCCGGCCAGCGCUGCCAGGUGGAGGGGGCUGCGUCCGUCUUUGUCCACCAGGCUGGGGUCGGCCCCUGCCCUCAGCAACACUUCCACUACCUUCACCUGCCGGGUGAUCACUGCCAGGUGGAGAGGAGUCUGCAGUGACCAGAGGAGGGGGAGGAGUUAUCAGUCAGGCCUGGGAGGACUGAUGUACCUGCUGGAGGCGGUUUGCCAUGUUGAGGAUGUUUUGCUGCUGACUGCUGAGCAGAGUGUGGAUCAGCUGCUGGAUCACAGCCGUCUGCUGGUGGAUGAUGGCCAGGUGCAAAGGACUGUGGGAAGGAAAGAGCCAAAUCAAACCACGACACAGACGAUCAAACUCAAACGGCUAACAGCUAACCCUUUGCUCAUCUAACAUAAAAGACAUCCAGACUCACGUGUCUCCGUUCCUGUCCUGGACGCCACAGAGGUGCCUCUGGAUGGCCAGAAGGACCCGGGCGUCCCCGGUGCUGCAGUACUGCAGCAGGGCAGCAGUGGUCUGCCUGGCGCUCUGAGACGGUCUGCUGUGAAGGGCUGCAGCUGGAAACACAACACAGACGGACAAGGGUCAAACCCUGAGCGCACAGUGUCCUGCUCCUGUUAGCAGAGCCGUCUCCUCCUGCGGUCUCUUACCGAUCUGAAACAGCUGCUGCUGUAGUGGUGACCCAGUCUGUCCAGUCUGUCUGUUCUGUCCUUCAUUCUGUCCAUUCUGUUCAGUCUGUUCAGUCUGUGUAGUCUGUCCUCCAGUCUGUCCAUCAGCUUGUUGCUGGGUAACAGCUGUCUGAGGGGUGGAGCCUGGCAUCUGAGUCGCUCCCCCGCCGCUGAAGCCUGUGAAACCUCCGGUAAAGUAAACUCCUCCUGUUCCUCCUCCUGCUCCGUUCAUCUGCUGGUUGAACUGGAAUCCUGCAGAGGGAAACAGAGUCCGCAGUCAACUCCCAGUUCUCCCAGUCUGAAUGGACACUGGACAGAGGGAACAACCAGCUGCAGGGUCCAGGAAGCUGAAGGAUCAGUCUGAGCUGAGACGUUCAAAACUCUGGAAUCAUCACACAAACUACACAACGCGUCCGCACAACACGAUGAAAAUACCCACAAGUCAAAAUCCUACGUACCUCCUCCUCCAGCUCCUCCUCCAGCAGCUCCUCCUCCAGCAGCUCCUCCUCCAGCUCCUCCACCCCCGAAACCUCCGGCUCCUCCGCCUCGUCCUCCUCCUCCUCUCCAGGGUUCAUAGUGAGGCAGCGGCUUCUGCUU